GAUGAAGAACGCAGCGAAAUGCGAUAAGUAAUGUGAAUUGCAGAAUUCAGUGAAUCAUCGAAUCUUUGAACGCACCUUGCGCCCUUUGGCUAUUCUGAAGGGCAUGCCUGUUUGAGUAUCGUGAACACCUCAACUCUCAUGGUCUGCCAUGAUGAGCUUGGACUUUGGGGGUCUUGCUGGCCUACUGUCAGCUCCUCUCAAAUGAAUCAGCUUACCAGUGUUUGGUGGCACCACAGGUGUGAUAACUAUCUACGCUUGUGGUUUUCCAUCAGGUAACCUUCAGUGAUGGAGGUUCGCUGGGGCUCAUAAAUGUCUCUCCUCAGUGAGGACAGCUUUUUUGAACGUUUGAUCUCAAAUCAGGUAGGACUACCCGCUGAACUUAAGCAUAUCAAUAAGCGGAGGA
rnacentral:misc_RNA from 1 species